CAGUAGCCGCGGUAAUACGAAGGGGGCUAGCGUUGUUCGGAUUUACUGGGCGUAAAGCGUGCGCAGGCGGUUUGUUAAGACAGAUGUGAAAUCCCCGGGCUCAACCUGGGAACUGCAUUUGUGACUGGCAAGCUAGAGUCUGGCAGAGGGGGGUGGAAUUCCGCGUGUAGCAGUGAAAUGCGUAGAUAUGCGGAGGAACACCGAUGGCGAAGGCAGCCCCCUGGGCCAACACUGACGCUCAUGCACGAAAGCGUGGGGAGCAAACAGGAUUAGAUACCCCCGUAGUCCCUGUCUCUUAUAC
rnacentral:rRNA from 1 species